GAUUACUUUAUAGUAUAGUUUGAGGUUUUAAAAUUAUUAAAUUUUAAAAUAUUAAAAAUUUUAAAAGAAAUAUUUAAUUUUUAUAUUAGUUUUAUUUGAAGUAAUAAAUAUAAUUAUAAAGUAUUAGUAUUGUUAAAGAAAUUUUAUUAAUUAAUAAAAAGAAAAAUUUAUUUUUUGUACCUUGUGUAUCAGGGUUUAUUAAAUAAAAUUUAUUAAAUAUAAAUUUCUCAAAUUUAAAAGAGUUAUAAUUAUAUAAUUUUUAUUGUGAAAUAAAUAUUAUAAAUAUAGUUAUAGAAGUGAAAUGCUAAUCGAUUUUAAAUAUAUUUAGUUUUUUAAGAAAAAAAUUUAAUUUUUUUUAUAUUUUAUUAUCAAUUUAAGUUAUUAAAUUUAUAAUAGUAUAAUUUUAUAUUUUUAGGGAUGAGCUUAAAAAUAAAUUUUAUAUAACUUAUUUUGUUUAGAUUAAUAAGUAGAAUUAGAAGUUUUUAUCUUUUAUAGUGUUUUAUUACUGGUUAAUAAAAAUUUAAAAAUUUUUAUUAAGUUUAUAUAUUUUAUUAAAAAAUAAAUAAAAAUUAGGAAUAUUUAGAGAAAAUGAUAAAAUUAGUAUAUAAAUAUGUUUAUUAUAGAUAUAUUUAUUAGGUUAAUUAAAGGAACUCGGCAAAUAUAUUUUUCACCUGUUUAAUAAAAACAUGGCUUUUUGAUAAUAAUUUAAAGUCGGACCUGCCCAAUGAAAUUAUUUAAAUGGCCGCGGUAUUUUGACCGUGCAAAGGUAGCAUAAUCAUUAGUUUUUUAAUUGAAAGCUUGUAUGAAAGGUUUGAUGAGAAAAUAACUGUCUCUAAUUAAAUUAAAUAGAAUUUUAUUUUUAAGUAAAAAAGCUUAAAUUUUUAUAGAAGACGAGAAGACCCUAUAGAGUUUUAUAAAUAAUUAUUAAUUUAAAUUUUUAGAAUUUUUUUUAGGUUCAUAAUUUUUUUAUUUUGUUGGGGUGAUAAAAAAAUUUAAAUAACUUUUUUUGUAUUAAAUCAUUUAUAAAUGAUUAAUUGAUCCAAUUAUUUUGAUUAUAAGAAAAAACUACCUUAGGGAUAACAGCGUAAUUUUUUUUUAGAGUUCAAAUCAAAAAAAAAGAUUGCGACCUCGAUGUUGGAUUAAAAUUAAGGAUUGGUGUAGAAGCUAAUCUUUUGAGUCUGUUCGACUUUUAAAAUUUUACAUGAUCUGAGUUUAAACCGGUGUGAGCCAGGUUGGUUUCUAUCUCUAUAAAAAUAACAUAUCUUAGUACGAAAGGACCAGAUAUCUAUUUUAUAGAAAAUUAUCAUUAGAAUACUAUUAAUGUUAUUUUGGCAGAUUAGUGUGAUAGAUUUAGAAUCUAUGGAAG
rnacentral:rRNA from 1 species